AGUGAACGCUGGCGGUAGGCCUAACACAUGCAAGUCGAACGGCAGCACAGAGGAGCUUGCUCCUUGGGUGGCGAGUGGCGGACGGGUGAGGAAUACAUCGGAAUCUACUCUGUCGUGGGGGAUAACGUAGGGAAACUUACGCUAAUACCGCAUACGACCUACGGGUGAAAGCAGGGGAUCUUCGGACCUUGCGCGAUUGAAUGAGCCGAUGUCGGAUUAGCUAGUUGGCGGGGUAAAGGCCCACCAAGGCGACGAUCCGUAGCUGGUCUGAGAAGGUGAGCAGCCAAACCGGAAAUGAGACACGGGCCAGACUCCUACGGGAGGCAGCCGUGGGGAAUAUUGGACAAUGGGCGGAAGCCUGAUCCAGCCAUACCGGGUGGGUGAAGAAGGCCUUCGGGUUGUAAAGCCCUUUUGUUGGGAAAGAAAUCCAUCUGGUUAAUACCCGGGUGGGAUGACGGUACCCAAAGAAUAAGCACCGGCUAACUUCGUGCCAGCAGCCGCCGUAA
rnacentral:rRNA from 1 species